GAUGAAGAACGCAGCGAAAUGCGAUAAGUAGUGUGAAUUGCAGAAUUCAGUGAAUCAUCGAAUCUUUGAACGCACAUUGCGCCCUUUGGUAUUCCUUAGGGCAUGCCUGUUCGAGCGUCAUUUAAACCUUCAAGCUAAGCUUGGUGUUGGGUGACUGUCAGCUUCACGGCGGACUCGCCUCAAAAUUAUUGGCGGCCGGUACAUUGGCUUCGAGCGCAGCAGAAACGCGAACUCGGGCCCGUCGUAUUGGCUCCCAGAAGCUAUCUUCACAAUUUUGACCUCGGAUCAGGUAGGGAUACCCGCUGAACUUAAGCAUAUCAAUAAGCGGAGGA
rnacentral:misc_RNA from 1 species